rnacentral:rRNA from 1 species
UACGUAGGGUGCAAGCGUUAAUCGGAAUUACUGGGCGUAAAGCGUGCGCAGGCGGCUUUGCAAGACAGAUGUGAAAUCCCCGGGCUCAACCUGGGAACUGCAUUUGUGACUGUAGAGCUGGAGUACGGUAGAGGGGGAUGGAAUUCCGCGUGUAGCAGUGAAAUGCGUAGAUAUGCGGAGGAACACCGAUGGCGAAGGCAAUCCCCUGGACCUGUACUGACGCUCAUGCACGAAAGCGUGGGGAGCAAACAGG